GGCGAACGCUGGCGGCAUGCUUAACACAUGCAAGUCGAACGGGCACUUCGUUGCUAUUUGCAGACGGGGGAUUAACACGUGGGAACGUACCUUUCGGUUCCGAAUAAUCCAGUGAAACUUGGACUAAUACCGGAUACGCCCUUCGGGGGAAAGAUUCAUCGCCGAUAGAUCGGCCCGCGUCUGAUUAGCUAGUUGGUGAGGUAAUGGCUCACCAAGGCGACGAUCAGUAGCUGGUCUGAGAGGAUGACCAGCCACAUUGGGAAUGAGACCCGGCCCACAAUCCUACGGGAGGCAGCAGUGGGGAAUAUUGGACAAUGGGCGCAAGCCUGAUCAAGCCAUGCCGCGUGAGUGAUGAAGGCCUUAGGGUUGUAAAGCUCUUUUGUACGGGAAGAUAAUGACUGUACCGGAAGAAUAAGCCCCGGCUAACUUCGUG
rnacentral:rRNA from 1 species